GAUGAACGCUGGCGGCGUGCCUAAUACAUGCAAGUCGAGCGAACAGACGAGGAGCUUGCUCCUUUGACGUUAGCGGCGGACGGGUGAGUAACACGUGGGUAACCUACCUAUAAGACUGGGAUAACUUCGGGAAACCGGAGCUAAUACCGGAUAAUAUUUCGAACCGCAUGGUUCGAUAGUGAAAGAUGGCUCUGCUAUCACUUAUAGAUGGACCUGCGCCGUAUUAGCUAGUUGGUAAGGUAACGGCUUACCAAGGCAACGAUACGUAGCCGACCUGAGAGGGGGAUCGGCCACACUGGAACUGAGACACGGUCCAGACUCCUACGGGAGGCAGCAGUAGGGAAUCUUCCGCAAUGGGCGAAAGCCUGACGGAGCAACGCCGCGUGAGUGAUGAAGGUCUUCGGAUCGUAAAACUCUGUUAUUAGGGAAGAACAAACGUGUAAGUAACUGUGCACGUCUUGACGGUACCUAAUCAGAAAGCCACGGCUAACUACGU
rnacentral:rRNA from 1 species